ACCCGCUGAACUUAAGCAUAUCAAUAAGCGGAGGAAAAGAAACCAACAGGGAUUGCUCUAGUAACGGCGAGUGAAGCAGCAAUAGCUCAAAUUUGAAAUCUGGCGUCUUCGACGUCCGAGUUGUAAUUUGUAGAGGAUGCUUCUGAGUGGCCACCGACCUAAGUUCCUUGGAACAGGACGUCAUAGAGGGUGAGAAUCCCGUAUGCGGUCGGAAAGGCGCUCUAUACGUAGCUCCUUCGACGAGUCGAGUUGUUUGGGAAUGCAGCUCUAAAUGGGAGGUAAAUUUCUUCUAAAGCUAAAUAUUGGCCAGAGACCGAUAGCGCACAAGUAGAGUGAUCGAAAGAUGGAAAGCACUUUGGAAAGAGAGUUAAAAAGCACGUGAAAUUGUUAAAAGGGAAGGGAUUGCAACCAGACUUGCUCGCGGUGUUCCGCCGGUCUUCUGACCGGUCUACUCGCCGCGUUGCAGGCCAGCAUCGUCUGGUGCCGCUGGAUAAGACUUGAGGAAUGUAGCUCCCUCGGGAGUGUUAUAGCCUCUUGUGAUGCAGCGAGCGCCGGGCGAGGUCCGCGCUUCGGCUAGGAUGCUGGCGUAAUGGUCGUAAUCCGCCCGUCUUGAAACACGGACCAAGGAGUCUAACAUCUAUGCGAGUGUUCGGGUGUCAAACCCCUACGCGUAAUGAAAGUGAACGGAGGUGAGAACCGCAAGGUGCAUCAUCGACCGAUCCUGAUGUCUUCGGAUGGAUUUGAGUAAGAGCAUAGCUGUUGGGACCCGAAAGAUGGUGAACUAUGCCUGAAUAGGGUGAAGCCAGAGGAAACUCUGGUGGAGGCUCGCAGCGGUUCUGACGUGCAAAUCGAUCGUCAAAUUUGGGUAUAGGGGCGAAAGACUAAUCGAACCAUCUAGUAGCUGGUUCCUGCCGAAGUUUCCCU
rnacentral:rRNA from 1 species